rnacentral:tRNA from 1 species
GACGAGGUGGCUGAGUGGUUAAGGUGAUGGACUGCUAAUCCAUUGUUCUCUGUACGUGUUGGUUCAAAUCCCAUUCUUGUUG